rnacentral:rRNA from 1 species
CCUACGGGGCGCACCAGUGGGGAAUAUUGCACAAUGGGCGCAAGCCUGAUGCAGCCAUGCCGCGUGUAUGAAGAAGGCCUUCGGGUUGUAAAGUACUUUCAGUCGGGAGGAAGGUGGUGAGCUUAAUACGCUCAUCAAUUGACGUUACCGACAGAAGAAGCACCGGCUAACUCCGUGCAGCAGCCGCGGUAAUACGGAGGGUGCAAGCGUUAAUCGGAAUUACUGGGCGUAAAGCGCACGCAGGCGGUUGAUUGAGUCAGAUGUGAAACCCCCGGGCUUAACCCGGGAAUUGCAUCUGAUACUGGUCAGCUAGAGUCUUGUAGAGGGGGGUAGAAUUCCAUGUGUAUCGGUGAAAUGCGUAGAGAUGUGGAGGAAUACCGGUGGCGAAGGCGGCCCCCUGGACAAAGACUGACGCUCAGGUGCGAAAGCGUGGGGAGCAAACAGGAUUAGAUACCCGCGUAGUC